UACGGAAGGCAGCAGUGGGGAAUAUUGCACAAUGGGCGAAAGCCUGAUGCAGCUAUGCCGCGUGUAUGAAGAAGGCCUUAGGGUUGUAAAGUACUUUCAUCGGGGAGGAAAAAACAAAACUAAUAAUUUUAUUUCUUGACGUUACCCGAAAAAGAAGCACCGGCUAACCUCCGUGCCAGCAGCCGCGGUAAUACGGAGGGUGCUAGCGUUAAUCAGAAUUACUGGGCGUAAAGAGCACGUAGGUUGGUUUUUUAAGUCAGAUGUGAAAUCCCUGGGCUUAACCUAGGAACUGCAUUUUGAAACUGAAAUACUAGAGUAUCGUAGAGGGAGGUAGAAUUCUAGGUGUAGCGGUGAAAUGCGUAGAUAUCUGGAGGAAUACCUGUGGCGAAAGCGGCCUCCUAAACGAAUACUGACACUGAGGUGCGAAAGCGUGGGGAGCAAACAGGGAUUAGAUACC
rnacentral:rRNA from 1 species